CCCGACUGGGGCCGGGAUGCUGCUCCCGGGGCUCAGGGGAGCUGCCCCGGCUCGUCCCAGCCAUCUUGGGCUGGCUCCAGCCUGUGGGGGACACUUCUCCUCGCGCAGCAGCAGAGGGAAUCUGCUCAAGGCUGUUGUUUCCUGGUGAAUGUUGUGCCGUAAUGGUAUCCUGGGCAGCACUACUGGGAAGGAGCAAAUGAGCUCAGCUGGGGCCACCAGCUUUGAGGGGCUCGGGGCCCCACAGCGAAGCCUGGAUCRGCUCAAAACACCUAUCAAGGACACACCUGAAGAGAGAGAGGUCUAAGAAGUGAUGGCACAUGAGAGUCCUGCUGAAUACCGAUUCCGGGAUGCAGACAGACUGCUGGAACGAGGUGUGCCUGCACACAGGCAGCAGAAAGGGAAUGCUUCGGCACUCCAGGGAGCCUGAGCGUAUCUCAUCUGCACACUGGGUGAGU